AGCCGUAAGACAGGUGCUGCAUGGCUGUCGUCAGCUCGUGUCGUGAGAUGUUGGGUUAAGUCCCGCAACCGAGCGCAACUCCUAUCCUCAGUUGCCAUCAUUAAGUUGGGCACUCUGUGGAGACUGCCGGUGUUAAACCGGAGGAAGGUGGGAUGACGUCAAGUCCUCAUGGCCCUUAUGUUCUGGGCUACACACGUGCUACAAUGGCCGGUACAGACGGACGCAAAGCCGCGAGGCGGAGCAAAUCCGAAAAAGCCGGUCUCAGUUCGGAUUGCAGGCUGCAAUUCGCCUGCAUGAAGUCGGAAUCGCUAGUAAUCGCAGGUCAGCAUACUGCGGUGAAUACGUUCCCGGGCCUU
rnacentral:rRNA from 1 species